AACGUGAGUAGAAGCGGUCAGUGCAGCUCAGUGCGCGGGACAUUGCUCAGCAA
rfam:Erwinia billingiae strain Eb661 complete chromosome.